GGGAGGUCUUGCUGCAAAUGUCUAUGGCAUAGGUGAAAGCGCUUCCAAGAUGAUCUCUGGCAGGGAACGUGAGGGAGCUCAAAGCAAAUAUCACAAGCAAACAAGAUGCUGCCUGACCUGGUGAGUUCCUCCGGCAUCUGCAGAAUGCCUUGCGUUUAUAUUUCCAAAUCAGUCUGGGUUGAAUGCAGCUCACACAGCUCUCAAGAAGCUUGACACCAUCUGUUGUGAUCAAAC